AGCUUAGAGCACCAGAGAUAGAGAUUAAACUACCUGCAGGUACCCCAUGUAUGCAAAUUGUUUAGCGACGUGAUCGUUAAUUAUAGGAUUCGAGCACUCAUCUCUCUUCGAAUCCUCUAUCCAUUAUUGCUCCAGAUGUUUAAAAAUUAUCACCACCUCAGAUCUCACUCUCAGUUAUUUUUCCCACUAAUAUAUCGUUGCACGGACACGGAUCGAGUUUUAGUUUUCGGUUAAAUAUCAAGCAGGCAAGUCUAGCUAGCCAAUAUUAAAAGAGCCUGACCGAAAGUGAAGUGCUUUGAUACCGGUGGUGUUAGAGUGAAGAAACCAGUGUUUCGAUUAUUAGAGAUGUCUUCCUGCAGACCACCUCUUAAUAUGUGCAUGCUGAGGGGCGAAAUGGAGUAGAGCGUAUGUUUGCUAGAGAUCGGCCUUUCUAUUCUUAGCCUACAUCGAUGGCUGUGCUCUUUGUGUCGUGUGAUCUAUUGGCUAAGGGUUCCACUAAGGCUAGUGAGAAGUCUGGCGCGGAGAAUAAAAUGUGGUUCGAAUCAUCGUCGAGGCCAUCGUCUGUCCGGACAGA